rnacentral:lncRNA from 1 species
AAGAAGUUAGGAAAGGAAUAGCAAAAGGUAGCUUAGGCAACCCCAAGUAGCAAACAGUUAGGUGUCAGAACGAGCCGGCAUCCUCUAGAGAUCUCUUACUCACUUGCUAUUCAUUUCUAAACAUGUUUUUCAAAUGGAUGAAAUCUGCACAACUAACUAAUUCAAGAUAUAAAAAAGAUAGGACCAUAAAUCAUUAAUCUGGAACAAAUCAAAUGAAUGUAAUGGAAGCGAUCUUCCAUUUAUGAUUCCCAGUGCCUUGGUACCAAAUGGCUUACUUGAAUAUAACACCAUCACUCAAUUCAUACCACUGAAUGCAAGCUACGGAAUUUGUCCAUAGUUCUAAAAUGUGAGCAAAAGUCCUCAGAAAUGCCUGCAUGUCCAAGUAAUAUUAAUCUUGUGACUUUGUAAAUUCCUGAAAAUGUAUACCAUGUCGAGCCCAGAAAAAGAUAAAGGUGACCAAAUAUAUACUGAGGACCCUUUGUAUAAUUCUGCUUAUAUCCAACUGAGAGAUUUUAACGUGCAAGGGUAGAAAGGUAAAUCAAACAGAGGGGUGUGUCUUAAGAAAGGAACACCAUCAGUAGCUUCAGGGGAGAGUUAGGCAAUCCGAAGUAGAAUGACAGUUAGGUGUUAGAACGAGCUGGCUUGACAUACUUGCUUUAGAAAAGAUAGGGCAAUAAAUCGUAAAUCUGGACCAAAUCAAAUUAAUGUAACCGGAAAGAAUCUUCCAUGUAUAGUCUUGCCAGUGCCUUGAUACCCAGGUAGCCUACUUGAGUAUCAUUCAAUUUUAGACAACUGAAUGCAAACUAUGGAGUUCUACCACUGUCACAUCCCGACCCGGGUCCACCACAUCCCGGGCCCGCUCUACCACCGUAGCACGAUAUUGUCCACUUUGGGCUUACCAUUCCCUCACGGUUUUAUUUUUGGGAACUCACGAGCAACUUCCCAGUGGGUCACCCAUGUAUAGUCUUGCCAGUGCCUUGAUACCCAGGUAGCCUACUUGAGUAUCAUUCAAUUUUAGACAACUGAAUGCAAACUAUGGAGUUCUACCACUGUCACAUCCCGACCCGGGUCCACCACAUCCCGGGCCCGCUCUACCACCGUAGCACGAUAUUGUCCACUUUGGGCUUACCAUUCCCUCACGGUUUUAUUUUUGGGAACUCACGAGCAACUUCCCAGUGGGUCACCCAUCAUGGGAGUGCUCUGGCCACCUUCUCACUUAACUUCGAAGUUCCGAUGGAACCCGAAGCCAGUGAGCUUCCAAAAGGCCUCGUGCUAGGUAGGGAUGAGAAUAUACAUUUAAGGAUCACUCCCCUGGGCGAUGUGGGAUGUUACAAUCCACCCCCCUUAGGGGCCCGACAUCCUCGUCGGCACACUGCCGGCUAGGGAUUGGCUCUGAUACCAUUUGUCACAUCCCGACCCGGGUCCACCACAUCUCAGGCCCGCUCUAGCACCGUAGCACGAUAUUGUCCGCUUUGGGCUUACCAUUCCCUCACGGUUUUAUUUAUGGGAACUCACGAGCAACUUCCCAAUGGGUCACCCAUCAUGGGAGUGCUCUGGCCACCUUCUCGCUUAACUUCGAAGUUCCUAUGGAACCCGAAGCCAGUGAGCUCCCAAA